AGAGUCUGCAAAAAUCCGCUGUCCCC
rnacentral:piRNA from 1 species